GAUGAACGCUAGCGGCAGGCCUAAUACAUGCAAGUCGAGGGGUAGAGGAGAGCUUGCUUUCCUUGAGACCGGCGCACGGGUGCGUAACGCGUAUGCAACCUACCCUUUUCUGGGGGAUAGCCCGAAGAAAUUCGGAUUAAUACCGCAUAAGACCACGCUAUGGCAUCAUAGAGGGGUCAAACAUUUAUGGGAGAAGGAUGGGCAUGCGUGCCAUUAGCUAGUUGGCGGGGUAACGGCCCACCAAGGCGACGAUGGCUAGGGGAUCUGGGAGGAUGGCCCCCCACACUGGUACUGAGACACGGACCAUACUCCUACGGGAGGCAUCAGUAAGGAAUAUUGGUCAAUGGAGGCAACUCCGAACCAGCCAAGUAGCGUGCAGGAUGACGGCCCUAUGGGUUGUAAACUGCUUUUAUACAGGAAUAAAGUUAGCCACGUGUGGUUAUUUGUAGGUACUGUAUGAAUAAGGACCGGCUAAUUCCGUGCCAGCAGCCGCCGUAACAC
rnacentral:rRNA from 1 species